rnacentral:rRNA from 1 species
GACGAACGCUGGCGGCGUGCUUAACACAUGCAAGUCGAGCGGUAAGGCCCUUUCGGGGGUACACGAGCGGCGAACGGGUGAGUAACACGUGGGUGACCUGCCCUCAGCUCUGGGAUAAGCCUGGGAAACCGGGUCUAAUACUGGAUAUGACUCCAUGACGCAUGUUGUGGGGUGGAAAGCCUUGUGCGGCUGAGGAUGGGCCCGCGGCCUAUCAGCUUGUUGGUGGGGUGANGGCCUACCAAGGCGACGACGGGUAGCCGGCCUGAGAGGGCGACCGGUCACACUGGGACUGAGACACGGCCCAGACUCCUACGGGAGGCAGCAGUGGGGAAUCUUGCGCAAUGGGCGAAAGCCUGACGCAGCGACGCCGCGUGAGGGAUGACGGCCU